CCUACGGGUGGCAGCAGUGAGGAAUAUUGGUCAAUGGACGAGAGUCUGAACCAGCCAAGUAGCGUGAAGGAUGACUGCCCUAUGGGUUGUAAACUUCUUUUAUAUGGGAAUAAAACGUUCCACGUGUGGGAUUUUGUAUGUACCAUAUGAAUAAGGAUCGGCUAACUCCGUGCCAGCAGCCGCGGUAAUACGGAGGAUCCGAGCGUUAUCCGGAUUGCUUGGGUUUAAAGGGAGCGUAGGUGGAUUGUUAAGUCAGUUGUGAAAGUUUGCGGCUCAACCGGAAAAUUGCAGUUGAAACGGGCAGUCUUGAGUACAGUAGAGGUGGGCGGAAUGCGUGGUGGAGCGGUGAAAUGCUUAGAUAUCACGAAGAACUCCGAUUGCGAAGGCAGUUCACUGGACUGCAACUGACACUGAGGCUCGAAAGUGUGGGUAUCAAACAGGAUUAGAUACCCCAGUAGUC
rnacentral:rRNA from 1 species